GGACCAGGCUGGUGAAGGAAGACUUCGUUUUGUUAUUUAUUUAAAAAUGGGGGCCGGGGAUUUAGCUCAGCAGUUUUGCUGCCUGCUGCAUAAUCUCAAGGACCCGAGUUUGAUCCCCGGUACCAAAAAAAAAAAAAUUCCCAUUGGGCGUGGUGUUUAGAGUGUACCCCAGAAGCUGGGAGUGGUGGUGCACGCCUGUGAUCUCAGCACUCAGGAGGCUGAGGCAGGAGGAUCGCCAUCAGUUUGAGACCAGCCUGGGCUACAUAGUGAGACCAUGUCUCAAAACAAAACAGAACAAAACAAAUAGCGUGUCCAGCAGUGCCCUGGGAUGUGUGUCCCUGCCUGCACAGCGACGGCUCUGGCAAGAGCAGCUCUGCUUUUCACUUUACAGAAGUCCCAAGUUCGACACAUGUGCCCCAGGCCCCGAGCUGUGUGGUGUUCUCACGUGUUCUUGCUGCAUAUUUGCUGCUCUGCAUCCUCUGGCUGCGUCUCCUCAUCUCCUCCCACCUGGGCCCUGUAAUGCUGCUAACCUGUUGAUUCUGUGUCUCUGGAUGUCUGACAUUUUUUGGACUCCCAUCCCUUCCAGUUGGCCCUGGAAGCUCAGCUGCAACUCACAGAGGCCUUGCUGGCGCUGAGACUGCCCUUGGCUCCAGCCCAUGAUUUCUCCCAGAGAAAUGAAACCAAAACCGUGCUAGGCCUUAGCUGCUCCUUCAUGACAUUAGAGACAGGUUGUGCAUGGUGAGGACUUAUGUGCAUAUUGAAAAGGGGGGAGACCAUAACUGGAUCAGAACACACCAGAGGACAAGGGGCACCUGGAAAACCCUAGGAGACACGCAGUCCUGGUUUGUCCUGUGGGGAGAAGCAGCUCAGAACAGUGGGAAAAACAAAACAGGGGCACUGGCCAGGCAGGGGCUGGUGUAGGAGCCAGGACUGGGCUCCCAGGGUGCCUUGGCCUCUGGCCCUGUCGGGACAGCAGGUGACUGGAAGAAGGGAGUGAAGUGGGGUGUGUGGCAGCAUGACCUUCGAGCAGGCCAAAGCCCCUUCCACAGCCCCGGAGCCUGGCCUGUCCCUGAGCUGUAAGGUGAGACACAAGCUGACCCUUCGCACAUGGCUUAGGGAAGCUCUUAGGUUUUCUUGUUCUGAGGUUCAUCUGCACACACCAAGGAAGCUCGGAAAGCAUUUUAUGCUGUUUUAUUUAUUUUCCCAGUACUGGGGCUCAAGCCCAGGGCCUUUGCACUGAGCUAUAUCCCCAGCUCUUUUUAUGUUUUGAGACAGGGUCUCAUUAAGGCAUUAGGUUACACAGACUGGCCCUGAACUUGUGACGCUUCUGCCUCCGCCUCCCAGAGCACUCGGAUGAUGGGCAUGGGCCGCUGUCCGCUUCUAAAAGCUUUUCAGAUGUGAUGCCGCACUUCCUCUAUGGCACCAGUCUUCUUCACACCUGUAUUUCUUUUAUUCAGUACUUGCUAAGUGAGCUGAUAAAGGCUGCGUGUGGGAGCGACAGAGAGCAGUCUUUCAGUCCGCAAACCUCUAAGGUUCCUCUCUGGCCGAUUGUCCGAUUUCAUUGAACGGUGCAUGUGAUGUGAGGUUGCUGGCCUUCAUCUGAAGUUUUGCGUUCUGCAGUUUCCAUUGGCAUGGGCAGCCAUGAUCUGAAAAUGACGUGAAAAUUCCAGAAAUAAACAGUUGGC
rnacentral:lncRNA from 1 species